UGCCUGGAGGACUAGUGGUCAGGCCACAGCCCUCUCACCGCCGCGGCCCGGGUUCGAUUCCUGGAAAGGGAA